UUUUUUUUCCUGUUUCUUGUUUCGACCGACCACGUCUGUUUCCUCGUUCCCCUUUCUUCCUCGUGCGACUGCUUUGUCUCGAUUCCUUCUCUGCUUCGUCCUCUCGAUUCCUCUUCCUUCCUCUCGAUUCUUCGCCGUGGUCUUGAUUCCUUCCUCCUUCGUGCAUCUCGGGGCGCUAGGUGCUCUGGUUCUUCAUCUUCUCUCCCCUUCCUGCAAAUCUCUGGGAUGGAAGUUAGGGUUAGCUGAUUUGUUCUCUGUUGUUGGUAGACGGUGUUUUGGCAACCAAAUUCUGAGGAAUAACACUUCAAUUUUGUGAUAAUUGGUCGAGGUUCGGUUGAGAUCUAACAUAUCAUAGUUCUUCUACAGAUUUGUAGGUACGACUCAGGAAUUUUCCUUCUUCAGUAUCUUAGCAAGUACAAAGGUCUCGGAAUGGAAGGUUUCUCCAAUGAUGAUUUACAAGCUGUACGAGAGAAAUUCCUUUUUGAGAUCAUAACUUGCAAGGACAAUGAAAUUCAGCUUCCAUUCGUAACUUCUUUCCUACAGAGACAUGGUUUUCGCAUUUUCAAGUGAAGCAUUCAACAUGAUUUCUGCAUUUGAACAAAGCUUUUAGGUAUUGAUUGCCAUUCGUUACUGUCAAGUAUAAUGGAAUUUGCACUACAAGAAGUUCUCCUGAAUUUGCACUGAAAGGAAAAAAAACAUGGCGAAAAUGCUUCAUCCUAGGAAAAAACCAUUUGUUUUUGUUUCCUAGCACAGUUUAGCGGCCGCAAUGCCAGAAUUUUUCCCAACUCAAAGGAAGAGUACUAUGACGAAACUGUUCUGCUGUUUCUUUAUCAUGGUUCCCCAGUGAUACUGUCUUGUAUUAUUUUCACUUGUAAAGAAGGUUUAAAUCCCCCCGCAAAAAAAAGGUUUAAAUCUGCAGAAUAAGUUUGUAAAGGAAGCAGUUCCACGACCAGUAGAAACAGCGAGGAACAACAGAUAAUUGCCCUCUUCUAGUGUUUUAUGAAUACAAGGAAAAUUUCACCAUUCUUCUACUUUUUCCCAACUGAAGGGAAAUGAAGAAAUU